rnacentral:rRNA from 1 species
CCUACGGGAGGCAGCAGUGGGGAAUCUUCCGCAAUGGGCGAAAGCCUGACGCAGCAACGCCGCGUGAUCGAAUGAAGGCCUUCGGGUUGUAAAGAUCUGUUGACAGGGACGAAUAAGCAAUGCGAAUAGAUUUGUGUACGACGGUACCUGUUUAGACAGCUCCGGCUACCUACGUGCCAGCAGCCGCGGUCAUACGUAGGGAGCAAGCGUUGUCCGGAAUUACUGGGCGUAAAGGGCGCGUAGGUGGGCGCUUAAGUCACGUGUGAAAACUCCGGGCUCAACCUGGAGACUGCACUUGAAACUGGGUGUCUUGAGUGCAGGAGAGGUAAGUGGAAUUCCUAGUGUAGCGGUGAAAUGCGUAGAUAUUAGGAGGAACACCAGUGGCGAAGGCGGCUUACUGGACUGUACCUGACGCUGAGGCGCGAAAGCGUGGGUAGCGAACAGGAUUAGAUACCCGGGUAGUC